UAAGGAAUAUUGGUCAAUGGACGCAAGUCUGAACCAGCCAUGCCGCGUGGAGGAUGGAGGUCCUCUGGAUUGUAAACUUCUUUUAUCUGGGACGAAACACUUCUUUUCUAAGAGGCCUGACGGUACCAGAUGAAUAAGCACCGGCUAACUCCGUGCCAGCAGCCGCGGUAAUACGGAGGGUGCAAGCGUUAUCCGGAUUCACUGGGUUUAAAGGGUGCGUAGGUGGGUAUGUAAGUCAGUGGUGAAAUCCCCGAGCUUAACUUGGGAACUGCCAUUGAUACUAUAUAUCUUGAAUACCGUAGAGGUAAGCGGAAUAUGUCAUGUAGCGGUGAAAUGCUUAGAUAUGACAUGGAACACCAAUUGCGAAGGCAGCUUACUAUGCGGUGAUUGACACUGAGGCACGAAAGCGUGGGUAGCAAAC
rnacentral:rRNA from 1 species